UUAACGCAAAUUUGUAUGCAGUUCGAACGAUUGCCCACGUUUGCCGCUAGGGGCGCUGUUCCAACGGUAUACAAAUAUGAGAUA
rnacentral:pre_miRNA from 1 species